rnacentral:sRNA from 1 species
AGAUGUGCCCUGCUUGUGGAUUUGUGUGAAUGUGCGUGUGCUGUCUGCAGAAUGCGGGGCACACCGUGCUCUGUUGACAUUAUCCAUUAUGCUCUGUUGCUCAGCUUCAGACAGCAAAGUCCUGACAUGUGCAGCCGUGUGGAGGAUGCCGAAGGAAUUGGAAUCAGGCAGCCACGAGUCCCCUGAUGAUUCAUCCAGCACUGCGCAGACCCUGGAGCUGCUCUGUCACCUUGACAACACAGCCCAUGGCAACAUGGCCUGUGUCGUGUGGGAACCAAUGGGAGAUGGGAAGAAAAUCAUUUCAUUGGCCGAUAACCAUAUCCUGCUGUGGGAUUUACAGGAAAGCUCAAGCCAGGCUGUGCUGGCCAGCUCAGCGUCCCUGGAAGGGAAGGGACAGCUGAAGUUCACCUCAGGACGGUGGAGCCCACAUCAUAACUGCACCCAGGUGGCCACAGCGAACGACACCACCCUCCGUGGCUGGGACACCCGGAGCAUGAGCCAGAUCUACUGCAUAGAGAAUGCCCACGGACAGCUGGUGCGGGACCUUGACUUUAAUCCCAAUAAGCAGUACUACUUGGCCAG